AACGAACGCUGGCGGCAUGCCUAACACAUGCAAGUCGAACGGGAUCCUAGCUUGCUAGGUGAGAGUGGCGGACGGGUGAGUAACACGUGGGAAUCUGCCUUUUGGUUCGGGAUAACCGCGGGAAACUGCGGCUAAUACCGAAUGCCCUCGAGAGAGGAAAGAUUUAUCGCCAGAAGAGGAGCCCGCGUCCGAUUAGGUAGUUGGUGGGGUAAAAGGCCUACCAAGCCGACGAUCGGUAGCUGGUCUGAGAGGAUGAUCAGCCACACUGGGACUGAGAUACGGCCCAGACUCCUACGGGAGGCAGCAGUGGGGAAUAUUGGACAAUGGGGGCAACCCUGAUCCAGCGAUGCCGCGUGUGUGAAGAAGGCCUGAGGGUUGUAAAGCACUUUAGUUGGGGAGGAAGAAUCCAGAGAUGAAUAAGCUAUGGAAAUGACGUUACCCAAAGAAUAAGCACCGGCUAACUCUGUGCCAGCA
rnacentral:rRNA from 1 species